GACGAACCGUGCGAACGUUGUUCGGAAUCACUGGGCUUAAAGGGCGCGUAGGCGGGCUGUCAAGUCUGGGGUGAAAUGCCGCGGCUCAACCGUGGAACUGCCUCAGAUACUGACGGCCUCGAGGAAGGUAGGGGCAUGCGGAACUGUAGGUGGAGCGGUGAAAUGCGUUGAUAUCUACAGGAACUCCGGUGGCGAAAGCGGCGUGCUGGACCUUUUCUGACGCUGAGGCGCGAAAGCUAGGGGAGCAAACAGG
rnacentral:rRNA from 1 species